AUACCUUUCUCGGCCUUUUGGCUAAGAUCAAGUGUAGUAUCUGUUCUUAUCAGUUUAAUAUCUGAUAUGUGAACCAAUGGUUCACACGAUAUUAAAUUAAUUUGUUGAGGGGGAGAUUUCACUACAAUAGCUUGCUAUUGGAUUUCUCAAGUGUUGCUUAUGUGUUGCACUACAACAUGAGCUAGGCGCACCCCAC
rfam:Cicer arietinum chromosome Ca5, whole genome shotgun sequence.